rnacentral:lncRNA from 1 species
UCCAAGCGAGUGAGUCUCAAGUCCCUCCUCAUGCGUUCAUCAUUCUCUUCUCAUCACCAUAUCUAACCAUUUCUGACAUGAAAAUACUCGUUCCUUUCACUCGCUCGAUUUGGAGAUAAGGCACGCGAUUGGAAGCUUCUGAGAAUGAUUUGCUGGAUGAGUGUGAUGUGUUAGAUUGAUUUUAUUCAAUCCAAGCCCCACAUUCAUCAGGAAUUCAUUCUCAAAAAGGGAUUUUUGAUGGAUUUCGGGGAGUCAGUUUUUUUUAGAGGGAUUUUUGGACAGAGGAUUUUGGAGAGAUAGUCUUCUUCUUAUCGUUUGCAUUCAUUCUUAGUUGAACUGGAGAAAAAGAAAAAUAUGGAAAAAUGUUCAAUAUUCAGUGAUUUUAGGGUUGUUUGGUUUAUUGUUUACAAGCUUCAAAACAUGAGGAUUCCGCCUUUUCUUUCAGUCUGGAUUUUAUAAAAAUAGAGUUCUAUUGAGAGACAGGUGAACUCGUUAUUGCUCGAGGCGUCGAUACAUAGCUGUUGCUGCUCUAUGGUGAUUUCAGUAUUGAGACUAGUUUGAUUUUCGUCCCCGGUUCAAUUCUGCUCUUCCUCUUAUUUUGUUGUGAAGGGAGCCAUGUGUGGACUGUAAAACGAUUUCAGUUAAAACAAUAGAUGAGGUUGUGUGGUUAUCUGCGAUUUCAUUUACUAUUCUACUCUAAUUUGUGAUUGUCAAAUGAAUCUGACUCAGUAGUGUAUAUACUCAUGGUUUUCCACUUGGUUAUCUAAUUCUCUAGUAUGAAUGAUUUCCGGUAAUCGUUCUGUUCUCUUUUCUUGAACAAGCAUAGCAGUUUGUGCUUGGAUUUUGUUGUUACUAAAGCAUGAAC